rnacentral:tRNA from 2 species
GCCAGUGUGGUGAAAUGGUAGACACGCCGGAUUCAAAAUCCGGUAUAGCAAUAUGUGGCGGUUCGAGUCCGCCCACUGGUACCA